rnacentral:rRNA from 1 species
CCUACGGGAGGCAGCAGUGGGGAAUAUUGCACAAUGGGGGGAACCCUGAUGCAGCGAAGCCGCGUGAGGGAGGAAGUAUUUCGGUAUGUAAACUUCUAUCAGCAGGGAAGCAAAUGACGGUACCUGACUACGAAGCCCCGGCUAACUACGUGACAGCAGCCGCGGUAAUACGUCGGGUGCAGGCGUUAUCCGGAUUUACUGGGGGUAAAGGGGGCGUAGGCGGUUUAGCAAGUCAGAAGUGAAAGCCCGGGGCUCAACCCCGGGACUGCCUUUGAAACUGUUGCCCUAGAUUGAAGGAGAGGUAAGUGGAAUUCGUAGUGUAGCGGUGAAAUGCGUAGAUAUUAGGAGGAACACCAGUGGCGAAGGCGGCUUACUGGAUCGUAAAUGACGCUGAGGCUCGAAAGCGUGGGGAGCAAACAGGAUUAGAUACCCCAGUAGUC